CUAAUAGUAUACAAAAGUGAUAGGAUGCCACUCCUAUGAUAAUAUCAUAUUAUAUAAAUCUUGCUAAUUGACUGCUUUAGAGCUUCUCCUUGCUGGUUCAAUGAAGUUAGCAACUAUGUUGAAAAAGUCCACAUGGCAAAAAACUUCUGUUGACCCAUAACACCUGAGGGCAGCCUCCAGCUGAAAACUGACAGGCAGAAAAAAGUCAGGAUCUUCAGUUCACAGUUACAAUGAAAUGAAUUCUGCAACAACCACAUUGAGCUUGAAAUCAGACGCGAUCCCAGCUAAGCCUCCAGAUGAAAAUGCAGCUCCAUUGAAACCCUGGUGGUACCCCUAUGAAAAUGAGUUGAGAACCCAGCCAAGUUGUGACUGGAGACUCCUGGCUUACGGACACUAGGAGAUCAGCAGUUACAUUUGUUUGACACUCAAGAAAAAUUAUUCCAAGGUAUCAACUUCAUGGCUUUAGAGAGUGAAAUGUCAGGCAUAGAAUCUGGAAUCUGCCUUGUGAAAAAGCAUGGGUUCUAACUGGUCUAGCAUGGGUUCAUGGAUAUUAUUUUCUAUGUGUCAUUUCUUUCCAUGCUGUCCAGAAUAACUUAUUCUUCACUGUGUUCAACACAAUCAUUCAAAAUUUUGAACCUCUACAACCGAACAGCAUUGGCUCAAAGGCUCUCUUUUCAGCUGUGGCUGUCCAUGUAAGAUGUGAAUUGCUCCACCUUGCUUUCCGCCAUGAUUGUGAGGUCACCUGAGCCACGUGGAACUAUGUUAGAAGAGCAAUUACAUUCCUUUGAGCAGCUGAUGGAGGACAUCAUCAAAAUGGAAGUACCUCUUUGUGAGAGAACAGUCAGCUUACCUUUAUAUUAAUAGAUAUUACCUUUGGGAUAUAUCUGUGAGAAAAGAAAAGCUAUUUCAGUAAAUGGUAUAUCUAUUGUACUUCUCCACCUAAGUCAAAAUACUCUUUCAGAUGGCUUCUUUAGUUAUAUUACUUGUAAUAAAAAAGAUAUAAAAUUUCACAAAAUGCUCUUUUUUUAAAACCAAAUUAAAUCUCAUUGGUAUAAAGUAGUUCAUAUUAUGUCAUAAUUCUGGCUUUUUGUAUUGUCCUUUUGACUCUGCUGGAGAUCUGACUAGAUAAAAGCGUAUACAGAAGUAUAUAUUCUCCAAUUGUUUAGACAUUACAUCAUGAUAAUAGCGAGUCUAAUAAGAUAAAAUGUUACUGACAGAGCCAAAAAAAAAAAAAGAAAUCAAAUGAGGUGUUAAAACUUUCACAGUAUAAUUUAAUACACUAUUUUCUCCACUGACAAGUAUUUUGGAAAUAAAAAUCUUUUAUAAUAAAUUUACUUAUAAAAUAAACUUGUAACACAUUAGAGGCUCUAUUAGAUAUUAUCUUAGCAGAAAUAUCUCUUUUCACUAAGCUUCAUGUAUGUGAAACUACCUAUGAUGAAAUAUUUUAUGUUGAUUUCUAUUAUGACCAAAACAGUUUAAGAAAAUAUGGCUUGACCCAAGGCAAACCUAUGAAUUGCAGAGAAUUUUUUCUGACGAUAUCAUUUUUACUACAUGACAUGCUUUGUUUUAUUCAGAUGGUUACUUUUUCCCCAUUUUCAAUUAUCCAACACUUUUCUAUUAUCUAGCUUGUUCUUCCUCCAUGCAAACAUAAUUAGAGCUGAUAACAGCUAUUUGAAGAUGUUAACCCACUCUUUUUCUCUAGAGUUGGUGUAGUAGCUCAGCCAAGCAUUAAACUUCUCUCUAAUUGUAGAAUAAAAUUGUUUUUAAUUAAAGUUAAUUAAAAUAGGGAGACUCCAAAUGACAUUAUAUUUCCUAAAAUGCAGAAUAAUUCUGAAUGCAACUCUGGUAGCUUUUUGAGGAUCUUCAGUGGUAAUAAUAGGAGAGUGCAGAAGCCGAAAAGAUAGAAUUGGGUCUUUUUGUCCAUCUGUAAUGGUAAAGUUAGACAGUGAGCUAAUCUAGCUUUGUCUGCUGAAGGCUUGUUUAACAGAGGGCUUGGAGUGUGAGUGAGCAUGCCUGGAAUACUAAAGCAUUUCUAAGGGCUUAUUUUUGUGUGAUACCAUAUAAAAAUAGUUAAAUAAUUAAACAUAUAACCAUAACAUAUUAUUGGUUUCUAAUGUGACAAU